CGGUAAGGCCCUUUCGGGGGUACACGAGUGGCGAACGGGUGAGUAACACGUGGGUGACCUGCCCUGUACUUCGGGAUAAGCCUGGGAAACUGGGUCUAAUACCGGAUAUGACCUUCUCCUGCAUGGGGGUUGGUGGAAAGUUUUUGCGGUACAGGAUGGGCCCGCGGCCUAUCAGCUUGUUGGUGGGGUAAUGGCCUACCAAGGCGACGACGGGUAGCCGGCCUGAGAGGGCGACCGGCCACACUGGGACUGAGACACGGCCCAGACUCCUACGGGAGGCAGCAGUGGGGAAUAUUGCACAAUGGGCGAAAGCCUGAUGCAGCGACGCCGCGUGAGGGAUGACGGCCUUCGGGUUGUAAACCUCUUUCAGUAGGGACGAAGCGCAAGUGACGGUACCUACAGAAGAAGCACCGGCCAACUACGUGCCAGCAGCCGCGGUAAUACGUAGGGUGCGAGCGUUGUCCGGAUUUACUGGGCGUAAAGAGCUCGUAGGCGGUUUGUCACGUCGUCUGUGAAAACCCGAGGCUUAACCUCGGGCCUGCAGGCGAUACGGGCAGACUUGAGUACUGUAGGGGAGACUGGAAUUCCUGGUGUAGCGGUGGAAUGCGCAGAUAUCAGGAGGAACACCGGUGGCGAAGGCGGGUCUCUGGGCAGUAACUGACGCUGAGGAGCGAAAGCGUGGGUAGCGAACAGGAUUAGAUACCCUGGUAGUCCACGCCGUAAACGGUGGGUACUAGGUGUGGGUUUCCUUCCACGGGAUCCGUGCCGUAGCUAACGCAUUAAGUACCCCGCCUGGGGAGUACG
rnacentral:rRNA from 1 species